AAUUGUUGAGCAGAGGGAUGUUGCUGUCAGCUGUUGCUCUUCAGUAGCUCCCUGUCACCUCCCUCUGCUCCAAGUCACAGCGUGCCAUUUGCCCGACAGCAGCUGGGCCAAAUAUCCAGUUAACAAAAUAUGGCUGUGUACAGAUUCCUACGCCAAAGCUGUGGACCGGUGUCAGCAGCUGAUGGACACUUCCAGCAUCGAGACAGAAGAUGAAGCAAGUGUC